GUGGAUGCAGCAUUUUUUGGUUAAUUUUGAUGAACAAGUACGAAUGACUGUAUCUGCCUCGAUCGAUCAAGAAGGAAGGGUGAAAAAUCUACGAUCGGUCUCUGUCAAAUCAACUUUGUACAUACGUAUAUGAGUAUAGUAGUGGACAAAGAAGAAAAGGACAAAGGAAUCAAACAAAUUAAAAUGCCAUUGACGGAUUCCAAACAUCUAAAGGGGUUCAUGUUCG
rnacentral:lncRNA from 1 species